CCUACGUGUGGCAGCAGUGGGGAAUAUUGGGCAAUGGGCGAAAGCCUGACCCAGCAACGCCGCGUGAAGGAAGAAGGCUUUCGGGUUGUAAACUUCUUUUGACAGGGAAGAGCAGAAGACGGUACCUGUCGAAUAAGCCACGGCUAACUACGUGCCAGCAGCCGCGGUAAUACGUAGGUGGCAAGCGUUGUCCGGAUUUACUGGGUGUAAAGGGCGUGUAGCCGGGAAGGCAAGUCAGAUGUGAAAUCUGGAGGCUCAACCUCCAAAUUGCAUUUGAAACUGUUUUUCUUGAGUACUGGAGAGGCAGACGGAAUUCCUUGUGUAGCGGUGAAAUGCGUAGAUAUAAGGAGGAACACCAGUGGCGAAGGCGGUCUGCUGGACAGCAACUGACGGUGAGGCGCGAAAGCGUGGGGAGCAAACAGGAUUAGAUACCCCAGUAGUC
rnacentral:rRNA from 1 species